GCGCACAUGGACACAGACACACGCAGAGAGACACACCCAUGUGUUACCAUUUCAUUCGGCCCAUAUCUACCCCGCUUUCAGAUGAUGAGUGACCCAUUUCAAGGGUUUUUACAACGACUGACGUACAAGAAAACACAUAAUAAAGUCACAAGUCUGGAUUAUUGUGUGGCACACAGUAUAUACACACAAAUGCAUUUUAUUUCUUGUUCUUGCGUGUUCUUAAAUGUGCUUAAUUUUGAGAGAAAGAUGUGCUCAAAAGGUUUUCACAGGUCCCGUUUUCUGCUCAUUUUCAGCUGCAUUCUUUUAUCUAAAUGUUUUAAUGCUCAAAAACUUUUUUUCUCAUACAUCUAGUCCACUGCUGCAGCACCUCUAUUCAUCUCUUCCCUUUUCUUGUGGCCCUCGUUCUGAAAAGCCCAGGCUGCCAUGAUUAGCAGCUUUCGCAGGCAGGAACACACCGGACCAACCGUUGGACACCUGAAAUGUUUGGAGAGAAUCGGACGACGUUGGGAACAAAUAUGUUUGUGUAUUCAGCUGCGUCGGAAGCUUUCACAGCCGCGUGGAUGUUGGCUCCCACUGAGCAUGCAAAGUCUGAGGAGGAGGGCUGUCGGACGUCUGAGCCAUUGGAUUCUCUGAUUGGUGGUGUACCAUCGAAUCAGCGCAGUGUGUGGGAGGGGCGGAA